GGGGCUGUGGCUCAGCGGUAGAGCAUGCGUCUCACAUGUGUAAGGCCCUGGGCUUGAUCCUCAGCACCACA
rnacentral:tRNA from 1 species